rnacentral:sRNA from 1 species
CCCUAGGAGCCCCGGGAUGCUGGCGCCCAGGGCCUACUCCCCUCACGCCACACCCUGCCAAC